AUUGAACGCUGGCGGCAGGCUUAACACAUGCAAGUCGAACGAGUGGCGGACGGGUGAGUAAUGCUUGGGAAUCUAGCUUAUGGAGGGGGAUAACUACGGGAAACUGUAGCUAAUACCGCUUACCAUAGGAUGAGCCCAAGUGGGAUUGGGUGGUUGGUGAGGUAAAGGCUCACCAAGCCGACGAUCUCUAGCUGGUCUGAGAGGAUGACCAGCAAAACGGGGAGUGAAAAAGGGCCCAGACUCCGACGGGAGGCAGCAGGGGGGAAUAUUGCGCAAUGGGGGCAACCGAACGCAGCAAGGCCGCGUGAAUGAAGAGGGCCUUCGGGUUGUAAAGUUCUUUCGGUAGCGAGGCGUUAACUACAGAAGAAGAACCGGCUAACUCGGUGCCAGCGGCCGCGGUAAAC
rnacentral:rRNA from 1 species